GACGAACGCUGGCGGCGUGCUUAACACAUGCAAGUCGAACGGAAAGGCCCUGCUUUUGUGGGGUGCUCGAGUGGCGAACGGGUGAGUAACACGUGAGUAACCUGCCCUUGACUUUGGGAUAACUUCAGGAAACUGGGGCUAAUACCGGAUAGGAGCUCCUGCUGCAUGGUGGGGGUUGGAAAGUUUCGGCGGUUGGGGAUGGACUCGCGGCUUAUCAGCUUGUUGGUGGGGUAGUGGCUUACCAAGGCUUUGACGGGUAGCCGGCCUGAGAGGGUGACCGGCCACAUUGGGACUGAGAUACGGCCCAGACUCCUACGGGAGGCAGGAGUGGGGAAUAUUGCACAAUGGGCGGAAGCCUGAUGCAGCAACGCCGCGUGCGGGAUGACGGCCUUCGGGUUGUAAACCGCUUUCGCCUGUGACGAAGCGUGAGUGACGGUAAUGGGGAAAGAAGCACCGGCUAACUACGU
rnacentral:rRNA from 1 species